rnacentral:lncRNA from 1 species
CCUGGGAUAAAUUUUGACUCAACACCAGUUGAACUGGUUUUAGUAUCAGUUGUUUACUCAGUUGUUUACUUAAAUCGUUACCUCCAGAUUACACAAGAGACUCGCCUACCUAAAGUUUACUGUCUUCCCAACCACCUUCUGGGACAGGGAAAAUCCUUCAGGAAAGAUGAAGUGAAAGAUACAGGAAAUGUGACCUUUAGCACCGUCAGCUUGAACUAGAACCAAGUUGUUAAGGCCCCUGGGAUCCCAGUGAUGUGGAAGAGGAGCCAACCAUUGUAUAAAACCCCUCUGAUUUCCAUCCCGCCCCUGGGCUUCCUCCUGCCAAAGCUGCUUCUGGGAACAAAGCAACUUCCCUGCCUGCCUGCCUGCCACUUAGAAACAAAUCACCCCAGGUCUGAACAGAGAGAACUCACAUUUCUUUUACAGAGAAGGUGAGAUACCCUAAAAGCAAAUGUGAGCCAGCAAGGGAAGAGGUUUGGGAACUUGAUUGAAUUGUUUUUCCUAAGAGUAACUCGAUUGAAUAGUGAGAGGCAAUUGUUAAGAUUUGCAAACAAUUCAGAAGGUGUAGAAACUCUUUGAUUGUAACCUCCCUUGCCCAGACUUUGGUCUCAUGAGAAAGAACACUCUCUUCAAUUAGACUCAGCAAAUAAUGGCUCCACGAAGGUUCUCAGCAAGGGCAGAUAAAUCAGAGUCAACAAGAGGCAGCCAGGAGCAGAGCUUUGCCGUCCAACAAAUCCUGGUUUUAAAACUCAGCUCGCUCUCCUAUAUAGCGGAGAAAUCAGACAGCAAGUUGACCAGGUGGUCACAAUUAAAAUAUCAAGGAAGGGCAGACAGAUUGGGUGCCUCUGGGUACAAUAUCCUGAGGACAAAAACCUCACCUGGUAGUUGCCUGACAGGACAUGCAUAAAGUGAGUCUAAUCUUGGGGAAACAUAGAAGCAUGAUUUUGGAACAUUUUAUUUAAAAAGGAGGAGUAAGGCUGGAAGUUUCACAAAUGACGAUGUGAUAGAAUUCAGUGAACAGAUAACAUGUGAUCUGAACUGGAUCCUGUAUGGAGGGGGAAAUGCUCUAAAGAAAACCACGGGGCUAAUUGAAAAAAAAAUCAAAAUAUUAAUUAGAGAUUUAAGUAUCCAAAGUUAAGUGCCCUGAAAGUGAUAACGGAACUGCAGUUGUGUAAGAGAAUGUCCUUGUUCCUAAGAGGUGGAUGCUAACAUACUUAGAAAUAAAGGAGCAUAAUAUAUGCAAUACAUUUUCAAAUAUUCAGAAAAAAAAUCUACAUAUAUGGGAGAGAGAAAGAAGAUGGGAGAGAAAGAAGAAGAAGGAUCAUGGGAGGGAGGAAGGAAGCAAAAAAGGAAGGUUGGGAGGGAGGGAGGACGGGAAAAAGUAACUGGGGCAGAAUAUGAAUAGAAGAAUCUCGGUGAAGCAUAUAGAGAUGUACAAUUUUUCUAUAAGUGGAAAUUAUUCUAAAUAAAUAGGGUAAAUUGUUUAAGCUUUUAGGAUGUAAGCAUAUAGAGAUGCAUACAGUAAAAACCAUGAGGUUGCGGGUUCGGUCCCUGCCCUUGCUCAGUGGGUUAAAGGAUCUGGCGUUGCCGUGAGCUGUGGUGUAGGUUGCAGACGCGGCUCGGAUCCCGCGUUGCUGUGGCUCUGGCGUAGGCUGGUGGCUGGAGCUCCUUUUUGACCCCUAGCCUGGGAACCUCCAUAUGCUGCGGGAGCGGCCCAAGAAAUGG